rnacentral:lncRNA from 1 species
AUUUAAUAACUUCAUAAAUAUAAAGUUGACAUUAACAAUUGAUACAGUCUCCAAAUUACCAAUAGAUCCAACACAAGAUUGUUUCUCGAUACAUAAUCAAGACCAAGUUAAGAAACUGAUACGAACCUUAUGCUUUCCUUAACAAUUGAUCCAUAUAUUAAAACUAUUUGUCGUGUAGUGUAUGUCAAAACAUAAUAUUAUUUUCAUUCAUUGAAUUUUAUAAAACUCCAUAAAUUUGAUUUGCAAGAACAAAUCAUUUAAGUUUACAAAAUGUACAUUCAAAAUUAUGCAUGUAAAUACAAUGAUUUCACUGAAUCUAGAUACGAAUUUCAAAUCUUUUUUAAAAUAAUGAUACAUAAAAUGCAUAGUAAAUAAUAGGGUGUUAGAGGUACUUAUGGAUCAAGAUAAACAAAAUCUAGAAACUUCUCCCCAGU